rnacentral:rRNA from 1 species
CCCAGACUCCUACGGGAGGCAGCAGUGGGGGAUAUUGCACAAUGGGGGGAACCCUGAUGCAGCGACGCCGCGUGGGUGAAGGAGCGUUUCGGCGCGUAAAGCCCUAUCGGCAGGGAAGAAGGAGGACGGUACCUGACUAAGAAGCCCCGGCUAACUACGUGCCAGCAGCCGCGGUAAUACGUAGGGGGCAAGCGUUAUCCGGAUUUACUGGGUGUAAAGGGGGCGCAGACGGCAGCGCAAGCCAGGAGUGAAAGCCCGGGGCCCAACCCCGGGACUGCUCUUGGAACUGCGCGGCUGGAGUGCAGGAGGGGCAGGCGGAAUUCCUGGUGUAGCGGUGAAAUGCGUAGAUAUCAGGAGGAACACCGGUGGCGAAGGCGGCCUGCUGGACUGCGACUGACGUUGAGGCCCGAAAGCGUGGGGAGCAAACAGGAUUAGAUACCCCCGUAG